UCCUCGUAGUUCCAGAGGCUGGGACGUCCAAGUUCGAGUCAGAAUCAGUUCUUGGUGAGGGCUCUCUCCUGCCUUGUUAGACAGCUGUCUUCUCCCUAUGUUCUCAUAUGGCCUUUCCACAGUAUAGAGAGUCUGUCUUCCUUUUCUUAUGAGUGCUAAUCAUCACAAGGGUCCCACUCAUGACUUCAUCUGAACUUAAUUAUUCCCCAAAGCCCCACCUCCUAAAACCAUCACACUGGGAGUUGGGGCUUAGACAUAUGAAUUUGGCAGGGGGUGGGGAAUGAGUGCAUCACAAACAUUCAGCCCAUUAUCCCAUUCCACUUGCCAGUGAGUGGUUCCGGCAUGGGCCUUCUCUCUUCCUAAAGAAGAUGACAGAGAGGCAAGGGCUCUCUCCUUUCUCUACCUGGGGUAUCUGGUGUCGGGGCCAACCACUUGCUGCCAGCCUAAGGACAGGGCCAGCACAGAGAGGGCAGAGUCAAGAGCAUCAUAGGACUGGGAGCUAGAACCCUGAUUUUCCUGUCUACAGACAAGCUGUUUCAUUUUGGCUCUCGUUCUGCCUCAACCCUGACCUGCCUCAAUCAGCAGCUGAGCAAAGAAAAAAGAAAACGUGCAAUAGUUCAGGGAGGUCAGUAUGUCACUUGGUCUCUCUCCUGAAAACCUCUGAUCUGAACCCAAAAGAAAUCCAUGCACACACUUCUUUACACCUCUGUUUAUUCUCCCUUCUCAUGAAAACCACUGACAUGUGCCUUUCAUGGAGGAGGGAAGACAAUGCUGCAAGAGUGUUCAGGAUCCCUAGGCUGAAUUCUCAGGUGGUAACCUAGGAAGCCAGACAUCCAGGAGGCCAGGCCCCUAGGGUCCUGGAGCUGGGGCAGCCCCUGAAGAGAAGUUCGGAGGGCAGCUCCACAUGGGCCCCAUGAGCUCUUCUUCUCAGCCCAGGGAGCUCAUCAGGGUCUGGGCCUGCUUCAGUUCUGCAGGGGCAAGAGGUAGGUAGGCAGGCGGCAAUUAGGCAGGAUGUGGGAGGGCCCCUUACCCUCCAGGUAUACAGCUGAGGCUCACCUGCCAGGAGGACCUGGAACUUGUCUGCUGAGAGGGACAUGGUAACAGGCUGGGCCGGGGCACCCGAGGCAGCUGCCACCUCCAGCCGCAGGUGCACCAUGGGCUCUUCCACGGACCGCAGCAGGCUAGAACUCAGGGUGUAGUCCACCCGCCAGCCCACGCCUGUCAGCCUGUUCACUGCAAGACCGAAAGGGGCUCAGGGUCACAGACAGGGGAGCCAGGCAGCCCUAGCCCAUACCCUGGUUCAGCCCUGAACCCUUCAGGGCCAUGUGGCCUUUGAGAAGCUCUCAUCCCUCUGAUCCAGGAGCUCAGAUUACCCGUAGCAGAUCUCAGAGGAAAGAAACCGGGGCUGGUGUCAGGAAUCCCAGCUCUGUGACUGCUCGACAUGUGAUGUGGUUAAGUCUCCUUUCUGAGGACAAACACCUCCCAAGCCACAUGCACCUUCUAGAAUGGAGCCCAGCCCCCACCCGGGCGCCCCACACUCACCUCGCAAGCUGCAGGCCCGCAGGUGCUCCUGCAGGGAGCUUUGCUUCUCCUCAUAACAGCGACACAGGCUGGCUGCAUGCUCUGGGGGCCGAAGGGAGGUCCCCUGAGCUAGCAGGUUACCCACCUGCCUGCCCUCAACCCUGUACCUUUGGGCAGCCCCAGCUGCUGCAGUUCACUGGACAAGGACUCGCCAUCCACGCUAUGCUUGGCCGCACUGGAGAGGAUGAAACUCAGCACUGCCACUGUGGCCUUCACAUCACCCGACUCUGGGGGGAGCCGUGGGUGGAAUGGGGGGUGUCACUGUGGCCCCAGCCACCUCCUUGACACCCCACUAUCUUCAGCUCAGAGCCCCCAGGCCUCCUUGAGCCAUGAGCACCGCUACUGCCCCACUGGGAGUGGGCAGAGGACCCUAGGGCUGGCAAUGUCUUUCUUCCCUCAUGCUCCUCUGCUGAGGCAGGUGGGUCAGAGUGGGGUGUUGGGAGGAGGGGCCUCUGUGCCGGGCCCCAGGCUGAAUACCCGGGUUUGCCCGGGUCUGCGGACCCAGUGGAGUACUCACCAAACCUGGCAUCAGCGGUGAGCUUCAGGAUCUUCUCAUACUGUGGAGAAAGGAGGCCCUCAAGGGGUGCCAGACCCCCGCUCACUAGCCCCCAGUCCCUGGCCUGGAUCCUGUGAAGGUCCUUCAGCACCUGGCUACACAGCAGCCUCAGCUUCACGGAGGACUGGAGGGGAAGGCCUUACAUCAGCCAGACUGACCCACCUCACCCCUCCAUGCUGGUGGGCUGGCUCAGAGAAGGCUGGCCACAUACCUGACCAGUCACACAGCAUGUUCGGACAGCCCGAGAGCGCUAAGGCCCCAGCCCAAGAGUGACCUCCCCACCCUCCACCCUCAGAGCCCCCACCCCCAAGACCCCAUGCACUCAACGAUUUUGGCCAGCGUGCUGAUCUCUGCCAGGACCCAGUCAGGACAGUCCAGGUCACCACAGAACCGGAACCUCUGCAAGGGAGUAAGCUCCAGCCAUACUGGCCUCCCUGCUGCCCCUGUUGCAGAUUAAACAUGGCUUGCUCUCACUUCACUCAGGUCUCUGCUCGAAUGACACCUCUUCUGAUGGACUUUCUCUGACUGUGCUUUCAUAAAUAGCCCCUCACACAAGGAAAUUUUUGGGGUCAGUGGGUGUAUUCAUUAUCUUGAUCAUGGUAAUGUUUUCAUGAGCAUAUAUGCAUUGAAACUUAUUGAACCAUAUAUUUGCACACACAUGGUUUGUUUUAUGUCGAUUUUAUCUCAAGGAAGCUGUUAAAAAAAAUAAAACAGCUCUUCACCAUCAUGCUUUAGCUGUUUAUCUUUCCUUCUUGAUCUCCAUGGCAUUUAUCACAGAAUAUAUCACGUUUUAUUACUUAUUCAAGGCCCAUCUCCUCUGUUAGGAUGCAAACCCACCUGGUUAACCACAUCUUGACAAUAUCGUCCACCCCCCGAUCAACUGUCCUUUGUCCUGUUUCUGUGGCAAAGCUCUAACGCACAGCAGUAUACAUGUUCAUCUUCCCAUGCCUCUGUCUGGGCUGCUUACAGAUGAUGGGAACAAAACCCGCAAACUGGGUACACGGUCAGUCCACGUUCUCCUGAUUUUGCUGGGCCCUCAGUGCAGCCCCAUAAUCCCAUGUCCUCUACUUGGCCCCAUCGUUCACCUUAUCAAUCACUUCAGACCUGCUCCAUGACCCUUCAACCUCCAAU